AGCGAACGCUGGCGGCAGGCCUAAUACAUGCAAGUCGAACGCACCUUCGGGUGAGUGGCGGACGGGUGAGUAACACGUGGGAACGUGCCCUUUGGUUCGGAAUAAUCCGGGGAAACCUGGCCUAAUACCGGAUGUGCCCUACGGGGGAAAGAUUUAUCGCCAUUGGAGCGGCCCGCGUCUGAUUAGCUAGUUGGUGAGGUAAAGGCUCACCAAGGCUACGAUCAGUAGCUGGUCUGAGAGGAUGAUCAGCCACACUGGGACUGAGACACGGCCCAGACUCCUACGGGAGGCAGCAGUAGGGAAUCUUGCGCAAUGGGCGAAAGCCUGACGCAGCCAUGCCGCGUGAAUGAUGAAGGUCUUAGGAUUGUAAAAUUCUUUCAGCAGGGAAGAUAAUGACUGUACCUGCAGAA
rnacentral:rRNA from 1 species